rnacentral:rRNA from 1 species
UACGUAGGGUGCAAGCGUUAUUCGGAAUUACUGGGCGUAAAGCGUGCGCAGGCGGUUUUGUAAGUCAGUGGUGAAAUCCCCGGGCUCAACCUGGGAACUGCCUUUGUGACUGCAAGGCUUGAGUGCGGCAGAGGGGGAUGGAAUUCCGCGUGUAGCAGUGAAAUGCGUAGAUAUGCGGAGGAACACCGAUGGCGAAGGCAAUCCCCUGGGCCUGCACUGACGCUCAUGCACGAAAGCGUGGGGAGCAAACAGG